ensembl:lncRNA
GUUGUGUACCAAUUAAAAACACUGCCAGAAAGUUGAUUCUAUUCAUCAGUACAUUUACAAAGUGACCAAAUCUAGCACCACUGGCUAACAAUGGGCUUUGAGGUCAGUUUCAUGAUCAUUAAUAUGCAAAUUGUCAAUAUUCACAGAGAGUUGGGGAAUGGCUGCAAUCACAGCAUUGUAAGAUGGUGACAGAUGUACCCUUAGGCCCCCUCUUUGAUUCAGAGAUGGUCUUUUCUGGAGAUGGUCUCCUUGACUCCUUGAUCCUCCUGGCACUUACCAGUGUACUCUAUAUUACUCUGUUUGUGCCAAUGGAACUGAUCCUUGGGGUGAUUUUUUGCAAAAUGAUCCUAUUGGUCAUUGUGCAAAUGUACUGUUUAUAAUGUUGGGGAAACCUGGAGUCAGCUGAGACUAAAGAAGUCACUUGAAUUGACGAAAUGGUCCCCUCAUUGUGAUGUGCUGAAUGAACUUUCAUUAUCUGAAUGACUGAGUAUGCAUCAAUUUGAAUCUGAAGUCUUCCAACAGCACGUCAUCUAUUCUAUUUUAUUCUGACAAAAACCUGUGGACUGUGUGUGUACUCACAUCUCUUCUGCAGGGCUUUUACAGUAGGUCUGGUGAAGCGCAUCAGGAAAAGGAUGAGCAAUAUGCAGAAGAGCAACGCUGUCAUCACUUUGUAGGUCUUCAGCUUUGUCGCAGGACUGCUAGUCAGGGAAAUGGAGCUGACAGUGUAGUUUUCAGUUUGGUUAUAAUCUGGAGUUUGGGUAUUUCCUGGAGGACACAUAUCAGUUAGUAUAUAUAACAAAAGUACAACAAUAAUGAAUGUAUCCCUCUGUUGUGGACUUCAGUAUGUGGACUAGAGAUGCUGUGAAUCAAACCUUAUACAGACGACCUGCAGGGAAGAAUAAAGUUACAAGAAACAUGGAACAGAAUCACACAUUUACAAGAGAAACAAAGAUAUUCUUUAAGAUUAAGUUUGUGUGAAAAUAAAAAACAACAAACAAAAAGAUUUUUCAAGGAACGACAUUCUUAAAGUUUAUGUUCCAUUGGAAGGUCAUUGCUGCGAAGUUGACUAUGACCCAGCUAAGCUGCUGCAGAUUACAGCACUAUUAUGUUUUAUAAACCUUGGAUCAAUAACUGCAGACGCACAUUCAGGACCUGCUCUACUCAAAGCACUUUGGAAAUUGGUGAAACCAGAAGAAAAGACUUGAUGUUACAAAUUUUGUAAAGUUUUGUGAAUUUUGUCCUGCAUGUUGGAAAUUUGUGCGAGAUGGUUGGUUAGAGAUGAUUAGAGCCGUAACAAACUGUAAAAAAUGACAUCAAAGUUCAUUGAUUGGAUAUUUAGUUUUUAAUCAGUGAUGACUUUCUUAGUAAACUAGUAGCAGGGGUACGUGAGCUCUGAUGUGUUUUUAGAUAUCACCUUCUUAUUCUCGAAACACCAGAAACUAUCUUCUAUUUGGUGCCGCUGAGCUGUAGUGGUGACACAAGUUUCAGCGGCAUGGAUUUCAAAGCCUCUGCAAACAGAAGUGAAACUAUGUGCACGACUAAACCGCUGUAGGGAAACAUGUACAGAUAAGACCUUUUUAUAUAAAGAUGAACAGUACAGACUGACCCACAUUUCAAAC